AACGAACGCUGGCGGCAGGCUUAACACAUGCAAGUCGAGCGGAGAGAGGUAGCUUGCUACUGAUCUUAGCGGCGGACGGGUGAGUAAUGCUUAGGAAUCUGCCUAUUAGUGGGGGACAACAUUUCGAAAGGAAUGCUAAUACCGCAUACGUCCUACGGGAGAAAGCAGGGGAUCUUCGGACCUCUCACUAUUGGAUGCGCCCAAGUAGAAUUAGCUAGUUGGUGGGGUAAAGGCCUACCAAGGCGACGAUCCGUAGCUGGUCUGAGAGGAUGAUCAGCCACACUGGAACUGAGAAACGGUCCAUACUCCUACGGGAGGCAGCAGUGGGAAAUAUUGGACAAUGGGCGAAAGCCUGAUCCAGCCAUGCCGCGUGUGUGAAGAAGGCCUUUUGGUUGUAAAGCACUUUAAGCGAGGAGGAGGCUACCUGGAUUAAUACUCUAGGAUAGUGGACGUUACUCGCAGAAUAAGCACCGGUUAACUCUGUGCCAGCCGCCGCGGUAACAC
rnacentral:rRNA from 1 species